CCUACGGGCGGCAGCAGUGAGGAAUAUUGGUCAAUGGCCGUAAGGCUGAACCAGCCAAGUAGCGUGAGGGAAGACUGCCCUAUGGGUUGUAAACCUCUUUUAUGCGGGGAUAAAGGUGUCCACGUGUGGAUGUUUGCAGGUACCGCAUGACUAAGGACCGGCUAAUUCCGUGCCAGCAGCCGCGGUAUUACGGAGGGUCCGGGCGUUAUCCGGAUUUAUUGGGUUUAAAGGGAGCGUAGGCCGGUCUUUAGGCGUGCCGUGAACUUGUGUGGCUCAACCAGGAGAGUGCGGCGCGAACUGGAGACCUUGAGUGCGCGGAAGGCAGGCGGAAUUCGUGGUGUAGCGGUGGAAUGCUUAGAUAUCACGAAGAACCCCGAUGGCGAAGGCAGCCUUCCGGCGCCCUACUGACGCUGAGGCACGAAAGUGCGGGGAUCGAACAGGAUUAGAUACCCGUGUAGUC
rnacentral:rRNA from 1 species